rnacentral:lncRNA from 1 species
GAACAGAGUACAAAAAGCGUAAACACAGGAUAACAAGAUGAAGACAAACAGACUGAAGAAAUUGAACUGAGGAAUUUGUGAAAGUCUUCAGUCAAAGUCUUCAAGCACAGAUAUGAACAACAUGCAACACAGAAUGAGGAAAUGGAUGAGUUGAGGAAAUAGAACCAGUCAGUUGGUGAAGACAAUGAUUUGGUAGACCAGUUCCAACUGCUGUCUCAGUUGUACGUCUGGUUGGAGCGGCUGAGUAUUUAAACUCGAGGACACACAGUCCCGGACACCUAGUCUCUGGGCCGCAACUCAGGACACCCAGUCCUCACCGUAUUCUCCUUGAACUAAGACCACGCAGGCCUCGUCCAAUCACUUGUGGUAAGUCUUCAGGUGACUUCCAAACCUUCACAGACUUGGUCACUCGGCGAUCCACAAUUCCUCUUGGAUGCUCUAGACCUUGACGCCUAACCGUCUGGAAGAAGCACAGUCUUCAAAGGUAACAAGCGUCGGAUCCACGCAGGAUCGAUUUCUUCAGUGAUGCUCAAUCACUUGGAGUUUUGUGGGUUUGGUUUUGGGAUUUUCCUCACUUGAUGAUUUUCGCUCAAAGUCCUCGGAGGAUGGGUUGCUCUCAAAUGACAAGUAUCAAGUUCUCUCGGAGCAGCCAACCAACUAGUGGUUGUAGGGGGCGGCUAUUUAUAGCCUAGGGAGCAGCCCGACAUGAUAAGACAUAAAUGCCCUUCAAUGAUAUGACCGUUAGGUGGAUAAGAUAUUUUGGUCCGCCGGCGCGCAGCACAGCAACGGUCGGAAAUUCGACUCUCAAAGUCCUCAGGGCUAUCAUGUUCCUCACUGUGUAGGCAAUUCGCACUGACGAAUUCCUAACUCCUCAGUCAGAGCAAAGUCCUCAGUGAACAGAAGAACUGCGUCUCUGUCACUGAUGAAUUUGACUGAACUGUAUGAGAUUUCCGAUGGCUUCACUCGAAGGGAUUGGUAGGUGUAGGAUUUUGAGUUGAGCAUCACAUGGAAAUUUUUCCUUAGUAUUUCCUCGACCCCCUUUAACAGUACGGUGUUUCCUAAGACUCAAGAAAGAGAAAAUGAAACUAUGAAAACAAAAGUCUUCACGCUUCAUAAUCCUCGAAUGAAUAUCAAGUCUUCAUGGUCACACCAAUUUCUCCACUUUCAAAGUCUUCAGAAAGUCUUCAGAAUAUCAAAGUCUUCAGUUGAAGAACUUCAUUUUUAGGGGUCGACUUUCUCUGUAAAUAUCAAACUCCUCAUAGACUUAUAGACCUGUGUACACUCACAAACGCAUUAGUUACUUAACCUAUAAGUCUUCAAUACACCAAAAUCACUAAGGGGCACUAGAUGCACUUACAAUCGAUGAAGGCACUCGUCCGUUGGAUGGUCAAUUUCGUCUGGCUACAUCUUACUCCACCAAUGACGACUCUGCUACACAUGAUACUGCCGCAAAUACCUCAGCCAAGCAAAAGCCUCAAGCCACAGCACCCAGGGUGAUGACUGACCGUGAGUUACUCCUCAGUCUUCAUCAGAAGGUUGAUCGCAAUCACAAAUGGGUGAAGCGUCAGUUUGCUGCUAUUCUUCACAACAUGACCUCAACCCAUAAUGCUGUGAAGAAAAAUCAUUAUCACCUUCAUGAAACCCUCAACCGCACCUGGGCUGUUCUCACUCAUGUAUACACCACGGAAGAACUGAAGACUAUGGGUCUCCAGGAAGCAUUUGAUUGGUCUGCACCACCUCCGAAGAAAUUCAAGAGAGUCAAAGUUCCUGAUCUGGUGCCAGCUCUUAUUCUUCAUCGCGUGAAACUGAUGAACAUGAAGAUUUGGACGACAGUGCGGUAGGCCCUACUUCAACAACCAACCCUCACAACGCUGGCGCUCCUCCAUCAACUUGAAAUUCUUCAGGGGCGCUAGUCCUCAGUUUCGAUCCUUUUGGUCAGUUGAUGACAAAGGGGGAGAAGUCUGAGUUAGUCUUCAAGCGGGUUUAUAUUAUGGGCGUUUUGUUAAGUUACAACUCUCGUUCUUCCGAAAGUUUUUACUGGAUCGAGUUGUAAUCUUAAAUCCGAUGGUGCCAUGAUACUUUUGAACGGUGCAUAGUGCUUUGAUGAUGCACUGUGCUCUGAUACUUUUGAUGUGUUAUUCUGCAUGCUUAUUCCUCGUUAAUACUAUUGCACGCAUGCUGAAUUUCAUCAGGCACCAUAUUUCAUCAUGCAUUUCAAAUUCUUCAUAUUAUAUAUCAAAUGCGUGUAUGAAUUACAAGAUAUAGGGGGAGAUCUCCAUGAUUCAAUUCUUCAAAUGUGCAUUGCUUCAAAAGCAAAUUCCUCACUAUGCACAUAUUCAGGGGGAGUUCUUCUAUAUCUUGUAAUCAAAUUCCUCAAUAUCAGUAUUUACACUUCAUAUAUUUAUCCCCGUUGAAAACUUAACCUAUGUUUUCAUCAAUCACCAAAAAGGGGGAGAUUGUAAGUGCAUCUAGUUCCCCUUAGUGAUUUUGGUGUAUUGAAGACUUAUAGGUUAAGGGACUGAUGCGUUUGUGAGUGUACACAGGUCUAUAAGUCUAUGAGGAGUUUGAUAUUUACAGAGAAAGUCGACCCCUAAAAAUGAAGUUCUUCGACUGAAGACUUUGAUAUUCUGAAGACUUUCUGAAGACUUUGAAAGUGAAGAAAUUGGUGUGACCUUGAAGACUUGGUAUUCGUUUGAGGAACAUUGAGCGUGAAGACUUUUGUUUUUGUAGUUUCAUUUUCUUUUUCUUGAGUCUUAGGAAACACCGUACUGUUAAAGGGGGUCGAGGAAAUACUAAGGAAAAAUUUCCAUGUGAUGCUCAACUCAAAAUCCUACACCUACCAAUCCCUUCGAGUGAAGCCAUUGGAAAUCUCAUACAGCUCAGUCAAGUUCUUCAGUGACAGAGACACAGUUCUUCUGGUCACUGAUGACUUUGCUCUGACUGAGGAGUUAGGAAUUCGCCAGUGUGAAUUGCCUACACAGUGAGGAACAUGAUAGCCCUGAGGAAUUUGAGAGUCAAAUUUCCGACUGUUGCUGUGCUGCGCGCCGGCUGUCCAAAAUAUCUUAUCCACCUAACGGUCAUAUCAUUGAAGGGCAUUUAUGUCUUAUCAUGUCGGGCUGCUCCCUAGGCUAUAAAUAGCCGCCCCCUAAACCACUAGCUGGUUGGCUACUCCGAGAGAACUUGACACUUGUCAUUUGAGAGCAACCCAUCCUCCGAGGACUUUGAGCGAAAAUCAUCAUGUGAGGAAAAUCCAAAACCAAACCCCCACAAACCCAAAGUGAUUGAGCAUCACUGAAGAAAUUGAUCCCGCGUGGAUCCGACGCUUGUUACCUUUGAAGACUAUGCUUCUUCCAGACGGUUAGGCGUCAAGGUCUAGAGCAUCCAAGUGGAAUUGUGGAUUGCCGAGUGACCAAGUCUGUGAAGGUUUGGAAGUCACAUGAAGAAUUACCACGAGUGAUUGGACGAGACCUGCGUGGUCUUAGUUCAAGGAGAAUACGGUGAGGACUGGGUGUCCUGAGUUGCGGCUCAGAGACUGGGUGUCCGGGACUGCGUGUCCUCGAGUUUAAAUACUCAGCCGCUCCAACCAGACGUACAAUUGAGACAGCAGUUGGAACUGGUUUACCAAAUCAUUGUCUUCACCAACUAACUGGUUCUAUCUCCUCAACCCUUUCAUUACCUCAUUACUGUGUUGAAUGUUGUUCAUAUCUGUGCUUGAAGACUUUGACUGAAGACUUUCACAAAUUCCUCAGUUCAAUUUCUUCAGUCUGUUUGUCUUCAUCUUGUUAUCAUGUGUUUACGCUUUCUGUACUCUGUGCCAGUCCUCAUUUCAUCAUAAUGACUAUGUUUGUAUCCUGUUAUGUUUACUUCUGAGUACUUAUUCCGCUGCAAGUAGUUCUUCGCUAAGGAAUUUCCUCACCAACAAAUUCCUCAGUGAAGAAUUCAUAAAAAUCGCCUAUUCACCCCCCUCUAGUCGAUAUAACGCACUUUCACCCCCGCAAAUUCUUCAGACGUUAAAGCACGUCUGGAGACCUGACCCUGCAGAAGAGAUUAGUUCUUUUUCUUCACCACCCACAUCUGAAGGGGUGGCAAAGAGUUCAUCACUCUGCGAGCACCAUAUGAGAAUGGUGGCAUAGAGGCCAAACCAUUUCGUUUCACAUAAGAGGGGUUAGGGUAAGCAUAUGAAUAAGCAGAGAAAUUUUUCGAGGACUUAUGAACAUAAUGGUUUGAAGAAUAAUGCACAUAUUCAUAGCCCUUAGCUCUACCCUGCGAGACAGAGUUGUUAGCACGAUGAUAAUCAUAUGAGGACUUUGAUCCUUUUGAGGAAUUUGAUCCACAUGAGGAAUUUGAUCCGUAUGAGGACUUGGAUCCAUAUGAAGAAUUUGGUCCAUAUGAAGAAUUUGAUCUGGGGUUCCUGUUCUUCACAGGUGGUGUCAUGAGGACAUUCACCUGAAGACUUUCGAGGCUCUUCUUGGGAAUCCAGAUUUUCUUCAUAGGAGAACCAUUCCUGCAGUUAGUGCCAACAUAUCUAGUAAAUACUUCACCAUUCUGAUUUUUGAACAGUUUAUAGUUGGAGUCAAAUGACUCAUCAGAAGAAUGAGGAGAUUCACAUGUAAAGCCAGAUAAGUUAGAUGGAUCAACUGGAGGUCCCUUUGCAGCAACCCAUGAGGUUUUGGGGUACUGCUCAGGCUUCGAAUAUGUUCCAUCAGCAUUGAGUUUCCUCUCAAAGGCAAUACCCUCUUUCCUAGGGUUUCUGUUGAGGAUCUGCCUUUUAAGCACAUCACAAAGAGUCUGAUGCCCUUUGAGGCUUUUGUACAUGCCUGUCAUGUACAAUUCCUUCAGCCCUGCAUUGUCAGUGAUACUAGCAAUGUCCUCAGAUGAGGAAUUAGUGAUAGCAGAGGCAGGUGAAGAAUUUGUAACAGUUGAAGCAUUUGAACAUUCAGGUGAAGAAUUAGCAGAUUCACGUUCAAUGCACUUUAAGCAUGGAGGAACAAAUUCUUCCUGAGAAGUGCUGAUUUGUUGAGCUAGUAAUGAAUCGCGCUCCUUCUGAAGAUCUUCAUAACUCACUGUUAGCUUCUCAAGAUCUUGCUUUCUUUGAAGAGAUUCAGAAGAAAGCUUCUCGUGAUCAGUCAAGAGAGUAUUAUGUUGAUCUUGAAGGGCGUCAAACUUGGAAUGAAGUCUCUGAAGACAUUCACCCAAUGCUUUUGACAGAUCCAUUUCUUUACCCAACAUAUCAUCACUUUUGUCUAGCAUGUUUUGAACUUGUUCCAAAGCUGUUUAUUGUUUAGUGGCAAUGCAAACAAGUUUGGUAUAACAAGAUUCAAUGUCAUCAUCAGAUUCAUCAUUAUCAGAUUCAUCAUUAUCAGAUUCAUCGUCACAAAACUCGGAUGAGGAGCGUUCGGUUACCUCGUCACCCUUUGCCAUGAGACAUGAUGCAGAAGAUGAUGAUUCUGACUCGAAAGUCAUCGUUUUGAGAGAUUCCUUGAAGUCCUCAAACCAGGGAUCAUGACGGGUUCGAUGACCUUCAUAGACAUCAGAGAUUCGGUACCAGAUAAGCUUCGCAUUGCAAAGAUGCAUAAUGCACCUGAAUUCAUCUCUGGAUAGGCAGGAACAGAUGAUAUCCUUCGCCAUGAUGUCAAGUCGAGUGUACUUGUGAAUAUCAUCAGCAUCCGCCAUCUUGCAUAGAUCAGUAAGACCAAUCUCAGUGACAGUCCACAGCUCGCUGUUCAUUGCCAUGAGGCGUUUCCUCAUCAUGGCCUUCCACUUGGGAUAAUCAUGCAUGACUGUCAAAGAUAGGGCAUGUCACUUUCUUCAUACCUGUGGUCGACAUAACUAAAACUCCAGGCGUUUAAACCAAAAUUACACAGAACAAGGGAGUACCUUUCUCUGAUACCAAUUGAAAGUGCGUUAUAUCGACUAGAGGGGGGUGAAUAGGCGAUUUUUUAUGAAUUCUUCACUGAGGAAUUUGCCGGUGAGGAAAUUCCUUAGCGAAGAACUACUAGCAACGGAAUAAGUACUCAGAAGUAAGCAUAACAGAAUACAAGCAUGGUCAUCAUGAUGAAAUGAAGACUAGCACAGAGUACAGAAAGCGUAAUCACAGGAUAACACAAGUACGAAGACAAACAGACUUAAGAAAUUGAACUGAGGAAAUUGAGAAAGUCUUUAGUCAAAGUCUUCAAACACAGAUAUGAACAAACACUCAACACAGUAAUGAGGAAAUGGAAGGGUUGAGGAAAUAGAACCAGUUAGGUUGGUGAAGACAAUGAUUUGGUAGACCAGUUCCAACUGCUGUCUCAGUUGUACGUCUGGUUGGAGCGGCUGAGUAUUUAAACUCGAG